rnacentral:rRNA from 1 species
AUUGAACGCUGGCGGCAGGCCUAACACAUGCAAGUCGAACGGUAACAGGAAGAAGCUUGCUUCUUUGCUGACGAGUGGCGGACGGGUGAGUAAUGUCUGGGAAACUGCCUGAUGGAGGGGGAUAACUACUGGAAACGGUAGCUAAUACCGCAUAACGUCGCAAGACCAAAGAGGGGGACCUUCGGGCCUCUUGCCAUCGGAUGUGCCCAGAUGGGAUUAGCUAGUAGGUGGGGUAACGGCUCACCUAGGCGACGAUCCCUAGCUGGUCUGAGAGGAUGACCAGCCACACUGGAACGGAGACACGGUCCAGACUCCUACGGGAGGCAGCAGUGGGGAAUAUUGCACAAUGGGGGCAAGCCUGAUGCAGCCAUGCCGCGUGUAUGAAGAAGGCCUUCGGGUUGUAAAGUACUUUCAGCGGGGAGGAAGGGAGUAAAGUUAAUACCUUUACUCAUUGACGUUACCCGCAGAAGAAGCACCGGCUAACUCCGUG